AACGAACGCUGGCGGCGCGCCUAAUACAUGCAAGUCGAGCGAGAAGGUGUAGCAAUACACUUGUAAAGCGGCGAACGGGUGAGGAAUACAUGGGUAAUCUACCAUCGAGUGGGGAAUAACCAGCCGAAAGGUUGGCUAAUACCGCGUACGCCUCCGAAUCUUCGGGUUCGGAGGGAAAGCCACACUGUGAGUGCGGCGCUCUUUGAUGAGCUCAUGUCCUAUCAGCUUGUUGGUAGGGUAACGGCCUACCAAGGCUUUGACGGGUAGCUGGUCUGAGAGGACGAUCAGCCACACUGGGCACUGCGACACGGGGCCAGACUCCUACGGGAGGCAGCAGUAAGGAAUAUUGCGCAAUGGGCGAAAGCCUGACGCAGCGACGCCGCGUGGGGGAUGAAGGUCUUCGGAUUGUAAACCCCUUUCGGGAGGGAAGAUGGAGCGAGCAAUCGUUCGGACGGUACCUCCAGAAGCAGCCACGGCCAACUUCGUGCCAGCAGCCG
rnacentral:rRNA from 1 species